rnacentral:rRNA from 1 species
UACGAAGGGAGCUAGCGUUGUUCGGAAUCACUGGGCGUAAAGCGCACGUAGGCGGAUGUGUCAGUCAGGGGUGAAAUCCCGGAGCUCAACUUCGGAACUGCCUUUGAUACAGCACGUCUUGAGUCCGAUAGAGGUGGGUGGAAUUCCUAGUGUAGAGGUGAAAUUCGUAGAUAUCAGGAAGAACACCCGUGGCUAAGGCGGCUCUCUAGUACGGUACUGACGCUGAGACGCGAAAGCGUGGGGAGCGAACAGG